GGAGAUCUACUGUCCUGUAGGUUUACAGUCCAACCCUAUUCCUGGAGAUCUACUGUCCUGUAGGUUUACAGUCCAACCCUCUUCCUGGAGAUCUACUGUCCUGGAGAUCUACUGUCCUGUAGGUUUACAGUCCAACCCUCUUCCUGGAGAUCUACUGUCCUGUAGGUUUUCAUUCCAACCCUAAUUUAGCAUAUCUGAUUCAGUUAGUUAAGGUCUUGUUGAGCAAAACCUACAGGACAGUAGAGGGUUGGACUGAAAGAGGGUUGGGCAACCCUGUACUUUAUCAUACCAGAUUCUGAGCCUCUCGUCUGGCUCUGUGAGAUUAGUUUAGUAGCCCCCCUUAUGAUCUGUGGUGGAAAGAUGUUAUUAUUGCUCUACCUCAUUGCCGUGUUUUGCACCAGGACAGUUGGUGCUUUUCUCUAUGAUAUUCAACAGUACACUAACCCAGGUCCUAGAGUUCGAGGCAAAUAUCAUCGUUUCCCUUAGACGAUGUAGGGACCAUAUAGCCCAACAUAACGUACUGUACCAAAAGUUAAAAGACGCAAUUCAUUCUUACACCAUAUUGAUUCAUUCAUUCUUACACCAUAUUGAUUCAUUCUUACACCAUAUUGAUUCAUUCAUUCUUACACCAUAUUGUUUCAUUCAUUCUUACACCAUAUUGAUUCAUUCAUUCUUACACCAUAUUGAUUGAUUCAUUCUUACACCAUAUUGAUUGAUUCAUUCUUACACCAUAUUGAUUCAUUCUUACACCAUAUUGAUUCAUUCUUACACCAUAUUGAUUCAUUCGAUAACCUUAUCAGAGUUUGUAUGAAUGGCACAGAGUCCCAGAUUGUUAUUUUAGUUAUAGGAACGGAUUCCCAGUAUAACAGUCCUAGUUAUAGGAACGGAUUCCCAGACACACACUCCUGUCGAGGAGAAGUUCCAUUGAAAAAGCUUUUUAGCGGCAGGUUGUCUAGUGGUUAUUGCGUUGGACUAGUAACCGAAAGGUUGCUGGAUUGAAUCCCCGAGCUGACAAGGUAAAAAUAUGUCGUUCUGCCCCCUGAACAAGGCAGUUCUCCGGUAGGCCGUCAUUGUAAAUAAGAAUUUGUUCUUAACUGACUUGCCAAUUUAAAUAAUUUAAAUUGUCCAGAAUUAGGCUUAAUCUGUAUCUGGGAAACAGGCCCGUAGGGUAGGUUUAUGUGUUGUACCCAUAGAGUUAGGUAGGUUUAUGUGUUGUACCCAUAGAGUUAGGUAGAUUUAUGUGUUGUACCCAUAGAGUUAGGUAGGUUUAUGUGUUGUACCCAUAGAGUUAGGUAGGUUUAUGUGUUGUACCCAUAGAGUUAGGUAGGUUUAUGUGUUGUACCCAUAGAGUUAGGUAGGUUUAUGUGUUGUACCCAUAGAGUUAGGUAGGUUUAUGUGUUGUGUCCCAGGACCAUAGAGUUAGGUAGGUUUAUGUGUUGUACCCAUAGAGUUAGGUAGGUUUAUGUGUUGUACCCAUAGAGUUAGGUAGGUUUAUGUGUUGUACCCAUAGAGUUAGGUAGGUUUAUGUGUUGUACCCAUAGAGUUAGGUAGGUUUAUGUGUUGUACCCAUAGAGUUAGGUAGGUUUAUGUGUUGUGUCCCAGGACCAUAGAGUUAGGUAGGUUUAUGUGUUGUACCCAUAGAGUUAGGUAGGUUUAUGUGUUGUACCCAUAGAGUUAGGUAGGUUUAUGUGUUGUGUCCUAGGCAAAAUUUUCUAUUUCAUUAAGGGCCCUUUUUUUUUUUACAAAUAUUUAUUUUUGCAUCAUUUGUGGUCCACCACCUUCAAUCCUUCCGGGAUAUGUGCAAUAUGGUAUCUUAUUACCUGUCAUGAUGUGGAUAUGAAUAUGUAAUAUUGUAUGAACAAGUGACAAGUUGUUUGAAAACAACAAAAUUACCAACGUCUUCCAUUAAGAAAUAUUGUAUAUUGUCUUCAUAUGCAUUAGCUUAUUUAGAGGGACUGUGGUGCCAAUAUUAUAACUAACAAUGCAUGAACGGUUGCUGUUUUUUGAAUAGGGGGCGGCAGCGUAGCCUAGUGGUUAGAGUGUUGGACAAGUAACCGAAAGGUUGCAAGUUCCCCGAGCUGACAAAGUACACAAAAUCUGUCGUUCUGCCCCUGAACAAGGCAGUUAACCCACUGUUAACCUAGGCCGUCAUUGUAAAAUAAGAGUUUUUUUCUUAACUAACUUGCCUAGUUUAAAUAAAGGUAAACAAAUAAGGAAACAUUGUUUUCCUAAAAACAGAACAUGUUUAGGAGAUUUGAUUCAAUUGUUAAAUCUAUUCAGAGUGAAUUUCACCACAGAUAUACAGUUAAUCUAUUACUAUCUAAACUGUAUGGAAUUAACACCUUUUAGAAUCAGUGUGUUAGGCUGUGUUUACACAGGCAGCCCAAUUCUGAUCUUUUUCCACUAAUUGGUCUUUUGACCAAUCAGAUCGGCUCUUUUGCCAACAAUUGGACAACGUAUUCGAGUUGGGCUUCCUGUCAGAAACAGCCUUUGUAAUUGAUCAAUAAAAUAAUGAUCUAUAAUACAUUUAGUAAAAAGCAAGGCAUAAUAUGCAUCUGAUUAGACAUUUUAGAAGAAAUAAACAAUUCUGCACGAUUUUCAGUUUAUUUGAUCUAUUGUGUUUUUAAAGGAAUGUUUUUAGCAUAUUAGUAGCUAUAUAAUUAGCGUUUUUUUUGUUUAGAGGGAAGACUAUGGUGUGUACUGUGGUUUAGAAUGCACUAUGUUCCUAGUAAGAACCACCCAACAGUGUGUGAAGUAUCACAUGUUGAAACAGAAAUACAUUUUGAAUUGGCAAAACGGUCUUCUGGGGAAAUUCAAUAUUCAAGCUACGUUCCCUAUGGUACUAGUGCGCUACUUUUUUGACCCGGGGCCCAUAGGGCUCUGGUAAAAAAAAGUAGUGCACUAUCUAGGGGAAUAGGGUGCCAUUUUGGAAGUGGCCUCGGACUCGUACAGUAUCACUGUAAGAACUAAGAACUACUGAUUUUAGGAGGCCUGUGUUGAUGCCUCUUUUCACGGUUUACAUUCUGUUAAAAUGUUGCAUCGUUGUCCAUAUCAAUCGAACUAUGUAUGCAUGUAUGCAUGUAAAUGUAUUAUGCAUUCUUCCUAUUAAUUGAACGUAAUAGAGAGAAACGACUGAACAAAAAAAAAAAUUUAAAAUGCUGUAAAACUUUCUUUACAUGUAUGAAUUAAUUCACUACCAAUCAUCCUGUCUUGAAUACUGUGUUUAAAAAAAAAAAAAAUUGUAACGCUACAUAAUGUGGCAAUAGGUAAAUCUAGAAUGUAUUGAUCAUUUAAAACUAUAUUAAAUACAAGGAGAAAAUAUUAUGCAUGACUAAAAGUAAUCAAUGAUUUGUAUUGCGGGCAAUAAUGAAUUUGGUCAUUUGCGUUGAUCUAUAGAUCUAUGAUACUGAAAGGCUGAUAUUGUGGCGCUGUGAUAUAAAGUUAGUAAAAUACGUUUACAGGUCUUGAAUAACAAGGGAUGGUUAUUGACAUCACCCAGAGCACAUUGGAACCACUUGUUCUCAUAAAAGAUGUACGAUGUUGAUCACAGCCUGAAAUCCAGGCUGUUCUGCGCUAUCAUUCUACUUGCCAUUCCUUGGCAAUGACAAGGAACGGAAUGAUGGCACAAAAGACUGGAUUUCAGGCUGUUGAUCCAAGUAUUACUAGUAAGCAACAGAAUGAGAUGACUGUGCGUUGUGGUGUGACUAUGCACUCCAGCGAGAAGCCCCUGGGGCAUGCUGGAGCGACGGAAUCUCCCGUCUCGGUUGUGGAUUAACUGAAGAAAUCUGCAUCAGAAAUGUAGCAAUAAAAAGCAGCAUGGUGCCAAUAGCACGAA